rnacentral:rRNA from 1 species
UACGUAGGGGGCAAGCGUUGUCCGGAAUCAUUGGGCGUAAAGAGCGCGUAGGCGGUCCGGUAAGUCCGCUCUGAAAGUCCGGGGCUCAACCCCGGGAGGCGGGCGGAUACUGUCGGGCUAGAGUCCGGAAGAGGCGAGUGGAAUUCCUGGCGUAGCGGUGAAAUGCGCAGAUAUCAGGAGGAACACCGGUGGCGAAGGCGGAUCUCUGGGCCGAUACUGACGCUGAGGAGCGAAAGCGUGGGGAGCGAACAGG